rnacentral:lncRNA from 1 species
AUGGGUGAUGUGGGGACCCCUCCACGCCACCGUUUGCUAUGGGGAGGAAAGCGUGAAAGUGUAAACAAGGAGGUAACUUCAAAGGCAAGCUGGCCUCACGGGACACCUGGGGACAUCAGCCCGGCUCGGCACGCCGUGAGAUUAUUUUUGCACCUCCAGUGGGACGCGGAGCUGGGAGCUGGGAGCUGGGAGCUGGGAGCUGGGAGCUGGGAGCUGGGAGCUGGGAGCUGGGAGCUGGGAGCUGGGAGCUGGGAGCUGCAGCUGAGCCACCCGUCCUGGGCUGGGAGGCUCCUGGGUCUCCUGUCCCCAUCUGUGUUGGCUUCCCCAUCGCACCUAUCUCCCUGUGCAGAGAGACCUUGUUCCAGUGCCACAUCCCCACUGUGCCCAUGUCCCCACCGGGGCCACCCAUGCCACGCCGGAGCCCUGCGGCCAGCCAGGCCCCCGCAGCAAGUCACGGCCUCGCUUCUCAAGGUGCCCAGCGCACCCAAAUUCACCCCCAGCUCCCCAGCGUGCCCAUUUUUUUUCCGAGGAUGCUCCCGGCCGUGGCAGGGAUUUGGCAGGGCUCCCCACCCCCCUCCAUCCCCUCUAUCUUCCCUCCUCAUCUUUCCGCAGCCGCCUUUCCCCCCGCGCUGCCGCAGGAAGGCAACACCUUCCUUAUCUCCUUCCGACCGUUGGUCCGGACCCGCUGCCCCUUCCCCCCCUCUCCGGCCUUGUUUUUCUGAAGUGUCCCUGCAUUUCCCCCCAGAGACUCCUCGGCCCAGCAUUUCCCUCCUCCGAGGGAAAAGGGAAAUCUCCAACAGCCGGAUAGAAAGUCCGCAGCUCCCGUCGCCGCUGGCAAGGCGCCCCGCGUCUAUUUCCGCGCCUGGCCGCCGCGCCUGGGAGGAAGCUGCCCAUGCUUGGGCUACUAAAAAAACAAAACGGGGCUCCCUCUGCCCCCCUUCAGGGCCAGUUUACUUAGGGUUGGUAGCCGGGAGGAUAGAGAGGGGGGUGAGGAGAAGGAGGGGUGGACGGGUGGAUGGAUAA